AUGGAAGCUGUGUUCAGGCCGGUCCACGCUGGGUGACCCAUGUGACCUGCUGCUUAGCAAUUCCUUGUCACCAUCUUCCCUUCUCAGCCUCUUUUUUCAUGCUAACAGGCAUAAAUGAAAUGAUAAAAGUUUGAGCUCUUCUCGUGGAAUUCUCGUGAUACAGAUAUGUGCUACAUGUUCAUCAUCUCGUUGGUCUUCACCAUGAUAACUGUGGAGUAAGAAUUAUAAGCAGGUCACAGAUUAGGGACUUGAGAUUGACAGUUUGGCUUCCCUGUUCUGGGUGGCAAAGCCUGUGGAGUACUCACCUACCUGCUGCAUGAAGGCAGCAUGGAGGGACUGUGGUGGAUUAUCUGCAAAGAUGGCCAAAAUUCUCUCAUCCCUGCAGGCACAUACAAGGUUGUUGCAUGGCAUAAGUAAAGUGACAGUUAUAGGAUACAUGCAACUUUUCAGUGACAAAGAUCUGUGCAGCAUCGACAGUACUGCCUAAUGAGGUUUCACCAUAAUGAAGUAUCACAACCAGUUUACAGACCAGAAAACUGAGACACAGGAAGGGGUGGUGACUUGAGCAAGGUGCAUCAGCUGCCAGGUUUCCAGAAGUUCCCCAGUCAUUGAGCAUUUCUGAGGCUCUUGAUGCAUAUGCCAAGUAGUUAUGGAGAAAGACACAGCAGCUUACCUCUGCAGGCAUCAUUGUGUGAAAGGAAGACCCAGGCUCUCUCACCACCCUUGAACAGAAGCCUUUUGCUAAGGUGAUAGCUACAUGUCCAAGCCUAUUGCGUGGCAUGCAUUUUGCCUUCUGCAGCCCACUAAAGGAAAUUGAAGUAUACAGAAUGCUUAUUUGGUCUACUCAGUAUCAUCCUAAAUGUAUGUACCAAUGCUUAGGAGUUUGCAGUUCACCCGCAAACCUCAGCGAUCCAAGCUCCCCUGGAUGACCAUCACUCACCAAGAAAAGAGCAAUAACAGGACCUGUUUUGCUAAUCCAGGACUGUUCUCCAGCACUAACUCUAAAUAAUCCCUUCUGCUAGAGUCCACUUUCUGGAACCUGUUGCCUCCGUUUUCAACGUUUCCCAAACUUGGUCCGUUGUGUGAGCUGGCUGAUAAAAGUUCCAGGGAGAAGACAUCUUACUCUUAUUGGAUCAUGCACAGUGCCUGAAGCAUUCUGUUGCAUGUAGAAGUCAGUAAAUUGCAGAUGUAAGAUUCAAAACCAGACUUCACAUCUACCGACUUCAGUGACCCUGAAAUUUGUUCACAGAGAGCAUUUAACAUAACUGUCUUCAUCAUCUCCUUCUCUACAUUAAAAAUUAUGGAAAAGUUGCUAAAACUGCUGUGAGAUUCUGGCUAAGAAAGUUUCAUGAGAAGUUUUACAGAAAAAUGUGAACGGAAGACAGAACUAGAUAUAAAUUUGAAUGUUUUGAGAAGAAUGCGAAGAAGAAAGGAAGAGUGAGCCUCUCUUUCCCAUCGUUACCCUCCAUUGUCCUCUUGACACCCUGCUUUCACAGAGAAAGAGUUUGAGACCCUCUCCCAGGAGCCAAGGAGAGGGGAACAGCUGGCUUCACAUCAUCUUUCUAUUCAACAAGAUACAAAAAGCUGAAGCCAGGAUGAUAGAAAAGCAACAAAGAAGACACGGUCCUUACUCAUUUCCCUUCCCACUUCAGAGCAAAUAUGGUGCCUGGUGUUCGAAGGGAGAACUUGUGGGCAGAGCAGGAAGCGUGAGUAUGGUUGAAGGAUCAAAUAUUUGGUUCAGGCAUCAGGGAGCCAGCAAGACUAUGAUGCUGGGAAACACAAGUGAUGUACUGUUGGAUUUAAUCUACUUGGAAAAAACCUAGGAAAACCAAAAUGUCAUCAACUAACACCUGAAAUGCCUCAGCACCAUCUGUCUCCAACAUUAAACAAAACCCACGAGAUUCCAGGAGAAAGAAAAUAGGAAAUUUAAUGAUGAACUUAACCUGAGUAACUUGAUAAAUGUUACCUUUGUGGCUAGCCAUUCACCAGCAAGUCCCUAAAAUGACCUGAAACCUGAAGAGUGUUUCACCCAUGAAAGGGUUUGCUCUCUCUGGGCAUGGCUACCCAGCACAUAUGUUAGUCAACUUUCUUUCCCUUGCAGGGCCCCUUGGAAAACUAGUUUGAAUCAUUCAUUAACUCAGCUCCACUCCUUCCCUUUCCCAUGGACCAUAGUUUCUUUGAGCAAUUAAAACUUAUAAGACACCAAAA
ensembl:lncRNA MIR7515HG MIR7515 host gene